rnacentral:rRNA from 1 species
CGAACGAUGAAGCCCUUCGGGGUGGAUUAGUGGCGAACGGGUGAGUAACACGUGGGCAAUCUGCCCUUCACUCUGGGACAAGCCCUGGAAACGGGGUCUAAUACCGGAUAAUACUUUCCUCCUCCUGGAGGAAGGUUGAAAGCUCCGGCGGUGAAGGAUGAGCCCGCGGCCUAUCAGCUAGUUGGUGGGGUAAUGGCCUACCAAGGCGACGACGGGUAGCCGGCCUGAGAGGGCGACCGGCCACACUGGGACUGAGACACGGCCCAGACUNAUACGGGAGGCAGCAGUGGGGAAUAUUGCACAAUGGGCGAAAGCCUGAUGCAGCGACGCCGCGUGAGGGAUGACGGCCUUCGGGUUGUAAACCUCUUUCAGCAGGGAAGAAGCGAAAGUGACGGUACCUGCAGAAGAAGCGCCGGCUAACUACGUGCCAGCAGCCGCGGUAAUACGUAGGGCGCAAGCGUUGUCCGGAAUUAUUGGGCGUAAAGAGCUCGUAGGCGGCUUGUCACGUCGGUUGUGAAAGCCCGGGGCUUAACCCCGGGUCUGCAGUCGAUACGGGCAGGCUAGAGUGUGGUAGGGGAGAUCGGAAUUCCUGGUGUAGCGGUGAAAUGCGCAGAUAUCAGGAGGAACACCGGUGGCGAAGGCGGAUCUCUGGGCCAUUACUGACGCUGAGGAGCGAAAGCGUGGGGAGCGAACAGGAUUAGAUACCCUGGUAGUCCACGCCGUAAACGUUGGGAACUAGGUGUUGGCGACAUUCCACGUCGUCGGUGCCGCAGCUAACGCAUUAAGUUCCCCGCCUGGGGAGUACGGCCGCAAGGCUAAAACUCAAAGGAAUUGACGGGGGCCCGCACAAGCAGCGGAGCAUGUGGCUUAAUUCGACGCAACGCGAAGAACCUUACCAAGGCUUGACAUACACCGGAAAGCAUCAGAGAUGGUGCCCCCCUUGUGGUCGGUGUACAGGUGGUGCAUGGCUGUCGUCAGCUCGUGUCGUGAGAUGUUGGGUUAAGUCCCGCAACGAGCGCAACCCUUGUUCUGUGUUGCCAGCAUGCCCUUCGGGGUGAUGGGGACUCACAGGAGACUGCCGGGGUCAACUCGGAGGAAGGUGGGGACGACGUCAAGUCAUCAUGCCCCUUAUGUCUUGGGCUGCACACGUGCUACAAUGGCNGGUACAAUGAGCUGCGAUGCCGCGAGGCGGAGCGAAUCUCAAAAAGCCGGUCUCAGUUCGGAUUGGGGUCUGCAACUCGACCCCAUGAAGUCGGAGUUGCUAGUAAUCGCAGAUCAGCAUUGCUGCGGUGAAUACGUUCCCGGGCCUUGUACACACCGCCCGUCACGUCACGAAAGUCGGUAACACCCGAAGCCGGUGGCCCAACCCCCUUGUGGG